rnacentral:lncRNA from 1 species
UGCUAGUUUGGAAUAGAUAGCUGAAUCAUGGGAUCGGAAUGUUUGCAUAGUGGCUAUGAAAACUUCCUCUUCUAGUUUGGGGGAUGAUUCCUUCUCUACCUCUAGGAUUUCAUCAUGAAGGCUAGUGCAAGGACUGUGUCCACUAAUAAGGACAAACCUUACCUCACUAAUGGAUAAAGAAAGGAAAACUCCUCCAAAGGCGGUAUUAUCAAGACCCGUAAAAGAUGUUAAAGAAGAACAAGGUCUUGUAAGGCUAGGUCUAAACCUAAAUUUAUAGGGAGAUUAAAAUAUCCCCUAAGUGUAGCCAAAAGUUCAUUACCUACUUGAUCAAAAGAUAGGACUCUAGCUGUAGAAAAGGGUUGGCUUUGACCUAUUGCAACCAAACAUGGGCGUAGCUCAUAGCUAGAUGUGAGAAUCAUAAGCUCUAGUGGAUCUAAGCUUGUGCUGAUGGGUACAAGAAAUUGAUAGAUAGACGUGGAAUUUGGGUUAUCCAUAAGGAUAGAAAAGAAAAGGAAAAAGAAAAGAUGAGAUAAGAGAAAAAGAUAAAAGUACAAUACAAGGUUAACCAUGACUUAAAGUUAUCUCAGUAGACCAUUUUUCUCCCCAGCAACGGCGCCAGAAAUGCUUGUUGAUACUAGAUACGCACACAGAGAAAUAAUCCGCAAGCGCACAGAUAUCGGUGAGCACUUUAUCUAGGAGAUAUUCCAGAGUAUUGUUAUUUAUUUAUCCACAAGGAGAAAGCGUGCAUCUGGCUAACCCAAAUCUAUACUUAACCCC